AGGACCCUGGGAUCACAACCUGAGCCGAAGGCAGACGCUUAUCUGACUGAGCCACCCAGGUGUCCCAAGGCUGCAGACGUUUAUGGUAAUACGGCUUUUGCACAAAGAAUGAAGACAGGGCAUUUUGCCAUGAGGCCCUAAAAUCUUACGUGGCCAGCUGCAGGCUAAGUAAGGAAUGGAGACUUUGAAUUUUGACUUUGAGCUGUAGGAACAGAGAGACUUUCUUCAUUCUUUCAGCUUCUGGUUGCUCAUUUGUUUUAUUCAUUGCCACGGUACGGGAUAGCCGCCCUCACUAGCAGGAAGUGGCUUGGCUGUGUAUGAGGUAUGACUGAGAAUCCUCACGACUCUUCCGUUUUUUUGCCGCUUGUCUCCACAUAUGCCUCUUUCGGCACAGCACCUCUGGAUUUUAGCGAAAUCUGCUCAACAUUUCCGAAUCCCUGUGAUGGAUCAGAGGCAUUCAGAUCUCUGCAAAGACAUCAGAGGAGGAAAAACAAAGAAGUGUCUGCGUUGGUGCGCACAGGCUGAUGCCCUGCUGACGUGUCCCACGUGACGACAGCCAGCAUCGCGUGUGCUCCCACAGCCCUGGCUCUUCCCACACUUCUGUCUCUCCCACUCAGGAAACCAUUUGUGGAUGCAAGGGAGUGAGUGGGUGUGGAUGUGAGGCCAUGAGAAGGAUUCCCUUAAGUCUGUUCUCCUUUAUAUUCAAAAGCAAAAGAUAAACCCGUUGUAAAUUUGGGGUUUAAAAAAAUUA